UCCCUGGUGGCUCAGACGGUAAAGCAUCUGCCUGCAAUGCAGGACACCCGGGUUCGAUUCCUGGGUGAGGAA
rnacentral:tRNA from 1 species